GAUCCAAACCCAUGAACCCCAGGUGGUCAAAGCAGAGCACACGAACUUAACCACUAUGCCAUGGGGCCAACCUCUAAAACAGUACUUUUUUCUGGUUGGUAGAAUUGGAAAUGAAUUUUACUUUUUCUCUGUAUCUUUCUAUGUUGCUUCAAAAUUUUAAAAAUACGUGCAUUAUUUAUGAAAUUUUUGAGUAAAUAAAACUAUUAUUUUGGGGAAAAAAACAGCAAGUGUUUUUAUCUCUUAGAGUAAAAAAUGGGGGGGACUUGAUGAUCAGUUGUAUGUGGGGAGUGAGAGAGAAGGGUUGGACAAGCCUGACUUCCAGCUCUCUCUUCCCUGUGAUUCUCUGGCACCCGAUGAAAGGCAACCCUCCUCCCAGUUGCUUACCCUUUUCCCCUGUUGUCGUUCAUUCUGCUUUGUAACUUCUCAUCUCAGACUCUGCUCCUCCUGACUGCAUGAUGGCUCCAUUGUUAACCCCUCUGCUUCCUCUGCCUUGUUUCAGAAUACUCUUUCCAUCUCCUUUCCUUAACUGAGUGGCAGGAAAUUAGAGAUGAGAGAUGUCAUUGGAAAUGACCAGCCCAAUUAUUCUCAGGUUGGCACAGGCUGUUUUGAUGCCAGCACUUGUUGAGGGUCCCAGUUUGGUGUCAGAGGAGAUGGACGGAAUACCUACCAAGUUUAUGAGGGGCCCAGAACUGGGUGGCUCUGUCUCAUGGUGUUCAAUGUAAUGAUGAGACCCAGAGAUAGGAUAAGGGUUCCCAGUGGGUUGCAAAGUUCAGUGAGGGACAGAGAAGCACCUGGACUGACUGUUCAGAGCAGGAGCCAGAGGUUAGGUAGUGGAAGCAAUGGCCAGUCCUGGUCAACAAUUUAAGGGGAACUGCCAACUCAUUCUUUUACUGUAUGGCAGUUUUGCCUUGUAAACAGUUUUUUAAAGAAGCCAAGUUUUUCAGAUGCAAGUCUAAAUGCUGUCUGUGUAAAUGUACACAUUAAAAUAAGCGCUCUUCACCUGUCAAGAAACAUCAAAGAUUGAAGUCAGGGAUGUGUCGGCUUCUUGAAUCUUAUUCUCUAAGGCCACCGCUCCCCAGACACUGUCUGCCUUUCUUGUCGUCAUUCAGAUCUUUGCCAUUUGAGGCCGACUCAUCGCAGCCUUCAAGGGCCAGGGCAUUUCUUAGUAUGCACUGAACUCACGCCAAACUAUUGUUUCACACUAUUAUUGUCUAAAAGACAGUGUGUACUAGAAAUGUGAAACAGGAAAUGUCCAUCUGACCUUAUUACGAUAGAAGAAAAUUUUCCAGAGUCCAUAUGCUGAUGUAAUUAUUUUAAGAACUUUUUUUUUUUUAAGUGUUUAGCAGUCAGAUCUUUGGAACAAUUUUCUUUGCUGUCAUGAGCAUAGCACGUAGCAUAUUAUCAUCUUUUAGAGGGGUAGAGCCCUGUAAUUGGCACAGUAGACUUUUAUAUUAUUUUCAAAUUAAGUUUUAAGGAAUUCUCUUUAUUUGCUAAGUUUGUAUGUGUGUGAAGCAUAUAUAUUUGAAUGUCUGAAUUUCUUUGGAAGAUCCUUGAUUUAUUUCACACAGAAAUUUUGUGCUCCGUUCUCAAAUCUAUGACGUAUGCCCUAUGUUCCAGUACUUUGCUUUGUACAAUUUCCUGUAAACAGCUGUAGGCAACUUCAAUAUACGCUGGCUGGUUGGUUCAGUGUUCUUGCAGUACUUACAAUGGACAUUUCUGAGCAUAACUAAUCUCUUUUUUUUUUUAUUUUGGUCCUAUUCGCAUCAGCACCAAUCCAGUGCUUUGAAAUGAAUUCAAAUACUGUGCUCUCUGAAGGGAUGAGGAUUAAAGCUUAAGCUGGGUCCAGGGAUGAGGUGAGAGGAAAAAACCCUCACAAAUCCGAUGCUUUUUUUCCUCCUAAGAAGUGAAAAGCAAUGAGCUGUACUAUAUAAAAGAAAGGAAACGGUAAUUAUGAACUUUUUCCCUACUACUGUCCACUGUCUUUGGUUUAGAGCAAAGCAGAAGCCAAGCAGCUAUUUAGCUCUCUAGCAUAUUUCCGUGUGAGAUUUGAUUUAUAUGAGCAUCAAGAAGUAGAGAUCUUAAUUCAGGUAUGACCGUGUCUUUUUUUCUCUUUCAUUUAUUGUAAGUAGUUUCAUGUUUUUGUUUUAUAUUUGUUUGAGUCCAUGAUCUUUUUUCAUCCUAUGUCCUAUGGAUCUGACCAACUCCAUUUCAUUCCAUGUUUCAGUUCCUCUUUUUCUCCAAAUAGCUCUACAGGAUCCUAGAAAUUCUUUUCUCCAGUUAAAACGUUAUCACCAGAAGCAUUAUUUCUAAUGUCAAUAUGAGCUUCUUUCUUGUAGCACGCUCUGUGCAGGGUGAAUUCUUAAGUGUAGCUGUAGAGAAUGAAUGAUUGGUAUUCAGCCAUGUUUGCCUAUGUCUUUCCACAACCAAAAACAAUUAGGUGAAAAGGGAAAAAUUCAAUUAGUUAUUCUUUUGUCUGCCUGAUCCCAAACAACUUCUAUGAAUAUUUGGGAAAUACUCUUAAGUUGAACUCACUGUGUGUAUAUGUUUUAUGUACAUUGAUGGUUCAGUUUUCAUUAUGUAGCUAUGUAGUAAAAAGUUUUCAGUGACAAACAAUUUCAUUUUCUAAAACAAUAGCUAUUUCAGAAACAAAUGAGGUCAAUGGGCAUCUUGUUUUAGGGGGGCUACUGGAGACAUUGGAGUAAGAGGAAGUCCCGUGUCAGAGGGCUCUGUGCACAUUUCCCUGAAAUACCUCAGCUAAGUGUAAAUGUAAUCUGUUAUUUUAACCAAUCAUAGCAGUUGCAUUUUGCCCUUUCUUACAUUAAAUUAUAAAAUCAAUAACUUACAAAUACGGCAAAUCUUUAUUUUUCAAAGAUUCCUCUUCCUCCUCCUCCUUUCCAAAGGUUGCGUUUCAUCCUUUCCAAAGACCUCAAAAGCUACUAGAUUAUCAUUAAAAAAUAAACACAUUUUCAAAGGCCAUUAGCCCGAGGGGAGGUCCUGAGUCGUCCAAAGGUUCUCCAGCGGGCAAACAAGAAAGACAGCACUCCUGCCCCGAUCCGUACACACUGGAGCAUCCAGGGCUGAAUUUCUUUCCAAUGGAAGUUGUUAUUUGAAUCUAGAAGUGUUGCUAAAAUGGAUUCAUCAAGCCAUUUUUUAGUGGAAAGGGCUUCAUGGAUGACGACCUGCUGGAAGUUGGCCGACAGCUGAAAGGAAGAACGACCCUGUUCAGUCCUGCUCAUUAUGCCUGCCAGAGAUCAAGAACACCUUGACCAAUCAGGAGAGGGGAUCUUCAUACAAGGAAAGGGGACUUUUGUACAAGGAGAGGGGACCUUUAUUCACCUUCCUGUACUCUUUCUUCCAAGCUAGUUUUUAACUUCAGGAAAGUAUCACUCUUCUGUGGCUGCUUAAUAUUUAAUUGGCUAUGUAAUGUGGCUAUGUAAUAUUUAAAUGUAGCCAAGUGUUUAGGGAUGAAGGUCUCUGACUCUGCCCCUCACCACACUUGGGACCUUAGGAAAGUUAUUUAACUUCUUUAACCAUCAUUUGUAAACUAUGUUUGUUGGAAAGAAUAAUUCUGUUUUUAAUGUAUAAAGUACAUAGUAUGGGACCUAUAAUAUAAGAGGUGUUCAAUAAAAAGUUAUUGUUAUCGUUACUAAGAUUUUUUUAUACUUAACCACAUAGAAAUGUCAUGUUGUCUGAUUUGUUCACUGCUGUAUCCCCUGGGCCAGUGCCUGAUGUUUAGUAGAUACUACUAAAUAAAUGCUAAAUUGCUACUCAAUAAAUAUUUGUCUGAAUGAA